UUUGGGUUGUAACAAAAAAAGAAGUAUAUGAAGUUGGUUGCAUAUAAUAAGAGUUUGACAUAUGGAUCAAAACAUGAUGACGGAUCUCUUUGCAAAGGAAGAUGGUAGAA